rnacentral:tmRNA from 1 species
UGCGGCUGAGGGUUUCCGGACGUGGGUUCGAUUCCCACCGCCUCCACCA